rnacentral:SRP_RNA from 1 species
GCUGGGUGUGGUGACGUGCACCUGUAGUCCCAGCUACUUGGGAGGCUGAGGCAGAAGAAUCACUUGAACCUGGGAGGCAGAGGUUGCAGUGAGCUGAGAUUGUGCCACUGUACUCCAGCCUGGGUGACAGAGUGAGACUCUGUCUCAA